UACGAAGGGGGCUAGCGUUGCUCGGAAUCACUGGGCGUAAAGCGCACGUAGGCGGCUUACUAAGUCAGGGGUGAAAUCCUGGAGCUCAACUCCAGAACUGCCUUUGAUACUGGUGAGCUUGAGUCCGGAAGAGGUGAGUGGAACUGCGAGUGUAGAGGUGAAAUUCGUAGAUAUUCGGAAGAACACCAGUGGCGAAAGGCGGCUCACUGGACCGGCAUUGACGCUGAGGUGCGAAAGCGGUGGGGAGCAA
rnacentral:rRNA from 1 species